UGCCAAGCCAUGGGAACACACAAGAAGAUUUAUGAAAAGAUCCAUAUGGUGAGGACCUAAGGCUUCCUUCAAAUAAUGAGUAAGGACCUGAAGCCUUGUCCCAACAGCUUUGUGAAUGAACUAUCUUGGAAGCAAAUAUUUCAGCCCUAAUCAAGACUUCAAAUAACUAUCAUCCCAGGUGGUAUUUUUGGGUUUUUUUUGUUUUUUUUUUUCCAGGUGGUAUUUUGAAUGCAACCUCAUGAAAGAAUCUCAGUCAGAACCACUUUACUAGCUUGCUUUCAAAUUCCUAGCCCUCAGAAAUAGUGAGAUGAUAAGUGUUUAUUGCUCAAGCUGAAAAUAAAAAGAACAAAGGAAAUGGGAGUCUACCUCUAAACCGAUAAUUGCACCGGCCAUGCCAUCAUCCUUGGCACACUCAGAAUCUGAGAACCCUAACGCCUGCAAGCUUUUUCCUCCCUGGAUGAAGUCAAGGGCUAAUUCUGCCAUUGUGAUGGAGAAUCCCCUUUAGAGGAAACCCCAAGUGUCCCUGAAAUCAAGGAAAGGCAGCACACCUGAGGUCAGUAAGCCAAACAGGAGCCCGGGAGCCAGCAGUGAGAAUGAGGAGACCAUCAUCAAAAAGACAGAUGAUAGUGAGUGUUGACACGGAUGUGGAAAACUGGAUUCCUUGUACACUGCUGGAAUAAAUGUAAAACAUGACAGCUGCUUUGAAAACCAGCCUGGUGGUUCCUCAAUAGCUUGAGUAUACAGUUACCGCAUAACCCAGCAAUUCCACUCUUAGGUGUAAACCCAAGAGAAAUGAAAGCAUAUGUCCACCCAACAACUUACACACAAGUGUCAUAGCAGCAAUAUACAUAAUGGCCAAAACCUGGAAACAGCCCAGAUGUUCAUCAGCUGCGGAAAGAACAAAUAAAAUGUGGUAUAUUCACAUGAUGGAAUAUAAUUUUUCAAUAAAAAGGAAUGAAGCACUAAAACAUGCUACAACAUGGAUGGAUCUUGAAAACAUUAUGCUACAUGAAAGAAAUCAGUCACAGAAGAGCAUAUACUGUAUAAUUCCAUUUAUAUGAAAUGUCCAGAAUAGGCAAAUCUAUCCAUACACAAAGUUAAA